rnacentral:rRNA from 1 species
UACGAGGGGGGGCAAAUGUUGUUCGGAAUCACUGGGCGUAAAGGGAGCGUAGGCGGGUUCUUAAGUUAGGUGUUUAAUCCCGGGGCCCAACCCCGGACCGGCACUUAAAACUGGGAAUCUUGAAUAGUGGAGAGGUCGGUGGAAUUGGAGGUGUAGCGGUGAAAUGCGUAGAUAUCGUAAGGAAGACCAGUGGCGAAGGCGGGUCUCUGGACAGUUCCUGACGCUGAGGCACGAAGGCCAGGGGGAGCAAACGGGG